UACAGAGGUCCCAAGCGUUGUUCGGAUUCAUUGGGCGUAAAGGGUGCGUAGGCGGCGCGGUAAGUCGGGUGUGAAAUCUCGGAGCUUAACUCCGAAACUGCAUUCGAUACUGCCGUGCUUGAGGACUGGAGAGGAGACUGGAAUUUACGGUGUAGCGGUGAAAUGCGUAGAGAUCAUGAGGAAGACCAGUGGCGAAGGCGGGUCUCUGGACAGUUCCUGACACUGAGCACGAAGGCCAGGGGAGCAAACGGG
rnacentral:rRNA from 1 species